rnacentral:misc_RNA from 1 species
AUUCCGUAGGUGAACCUGCGGAAGGAUCAUUAUUGAAUGAAACACUUCUGGCUUUAUGCUGUUGUGCUGGCCCUUUGGGCAAUGUGCACACGGCUCUGGUCACUUGUUUCUUCUGUUCCACCUGUGCACUGCCUGUAGACACGCUGUGUCUAUGAUAUUUGUUAACACACAACAAUGUUAGUUGGCAUGUUAUAUAUAAUAAUAAAAUAUACAACUUUCAACAACGGAUCUCUUGGCUCUC